rnacentral:lncRNA from 1 species
UACAUACAUACAUAGUUAAUUGAACAAUUCUUGGUUUGUUAUGAUCAUGCACAGAAUGUGGAAAAUUCUGAGGUGACGGAGGUUACUGAUCAGUUGCCCAAGCUGGAAUAAGGAAAUAUGUUUGGGUGCUAAUGCGAAAAGCUCAAUUUCGUUUGAAUUCAAAACAAAUGGUAAUUGACUCUUCUAUUUUCAUCAUGGCUUAACUAAUGCUUUAUAAAGUGACCAUAGAGACGCCCUUUUCAUUGUAGGUUGAGUUGCUCUACUGAAUUUUCGAGGCUGCAACUUUAGGUAAAAUGUGAAAGGUUAUUUCAGUUUUUGUAAAACUACUAUUUGAACUGUUCCAUUUCACAUUAUACCCUCAAAAUUGAACUUCAAGUGCAUCAUGCAUGGCAUUGGGCUACAAAAAUGUAAACUUUUACUAGUAAGGUUGACCCAUGUUUUAAGGAUUUGCCAACUUUUGAUGGUUACCAUAUCAAUGUCAGCUUAAAGCUAUCAAG